UACUAAACACCGAUUAAUAUAAUAAUAUUUAGAAUAUUAAUCAUUAUAUAAAUGUAAAGUAAAUAAAUAAACAUAAACGGAGGUAGUGCUUUUAUACAUACUGAGCCCACAAAAUUGUUCUCCGUUAUUUAGUACUCCCCAUUUUCUACAAUUUCCGUUUCUUCCACUUAUUUUCUGACACGAACUUGCUUUCUCAUUUAUAUUUUUUUCUCCUUUUCUUUUUUCCUAAUAUAUCUUCCUAAAUUACAUUGACAUAGGAAAAGGUAUAACAGCUCAAAUUGCAUGUUUAAAUGUCUAGGUUUAUUUUCACCCUACUUGUCAGCAGAGACUUUUCUGAUUUUGUAAUGUUUGAAUCAUUAAAAAUGUUCUAAAUUUUUUGUCAGCGAAAAUAAGAAAUUUGAUUUUUGAAUUGAACUUGUCGCACUAAGUUUAUCUAGUGUGAGUUAUCUUUUUUAUGUGAUUUACGAGUUAUUGCAUAGGAGCAAAAUUUUUAUCCUAUGUAUAUCCAAAAAUAACAAUGAUAAAAUUCUCUUGUCAUAAAAAAAAAAUUAAUAAAAAUCCGUAAAAAGACGUCUGAAGAAAAAUAUAAUGCGACGGUGUGAACGUAGAAGAAAUUGUUUUGUUUUAAUUCCUUCUAAUAAGUUUGAAAAUAUUUCCUAAAAAUACAAUUGCUUCACUUUAACUUUUUUAUUUUUGAAUCCAUGACUUUUUUUAAAAAAUAAUUGCUCAAUAUAUUCUUGAAUCCAUGACUUUUAAAAUUGGGAAAAAGGGUGAAUUUUAUUGAUUGAUAAUAUCAUAUUGUUAAAUUAAAGUUAUUUGCUUUCCUGUCAUUACUAAUUUUACCAUCCAUUUAUAUGCUCAAUUUGAUGAAAAUCUAAGUUGACCAAAAUUAUCGAAUUUCACUUAAAUUAUUGAAUUUCAUCUUUUUGAUCCGAAUUUAAAUUUAACCAGCUAAACAAAACUCAAGGAAAUCAAAUCCCAAAAUCAAUUUCUUCUCUCAUCUUCUUACUCCCUGAAUUAGAAAAAUAUUUUCAUCUCUUAACUCUAUACAAACUUCAUACAUUUGCAACAACAUAUAAUUUCAUUAGCUUGCCAAUUCAACUUUUUUUUACUUUAAAGAGAUUUUCAUUAGAAUCUGCCCUCCCAAAAUAACAAAGCAAAUUCACAAGAUCAAAAUUGUAUCAAUCUGUUUUUUCAAGCUUAGUCGUCUCUUUGAAAAACUUUUUUAUGCAAAAAGAGCAAUCAAUAUUCAUAAAUACAAAAAUCAAAUCCAUUAACUAAUAUCUUUUAUCAAGCAUCCAGAACGAUAGCCACAAAAACGCCAAGCAGCCAACAAAAGCAUAGACCCAAUGCUGAAUUGAUCCCAAAACUAAUCGCUGUUGCAAAUCUCGCUUACCACCGACAAUCGAAAAGUGUAAAAAAGAGGAGUAUGCGACAGCAGAGUUCAGUUUUUUACCUCAAUAAAAGAUCAUGUGCAUCACUUUUGCUUGCCAAUAUGAGUUCUUGCCCUUUGGGUUCUUAAAGGAGAUGAAUUUUGGGAGAAGAUGAUGGGUGUUUUGUUGAUUUGUUGGGCAAGUUUUUGAGUUUUUGGUUCAGAAACAGGAGUUGAAGAAGGUUCGGGUUAAGUUAGUUGGAUCGAUUUGGGUCAAAAUAGAUAAUUAGAUAACUUUAUUAAAAUUGAAUAAAUUUUGGCGAAUUUGGGGCUUUUCGUCCAUAAAGGAUAUAAAUAGUGAAAUUAAAAACAACAGGUUAAAAAUAAUUAUUUAAUGAUAAGAGAUGAUUAACUAAGAUUCACUUCUCUUUAAAAUAAAUAAAUUAAGUGGAAUAAUAGAAAUCUUGUAACUCGGUAUAAGAUCGAGAAUUGAUUGAUACUCAAAGUAAAAACUAACAUCAAAGUAAAAACUGAUGUUUAAUGUUGUGAUUAUAGUACUAAAAUUCUAGACGGGAUAUGUAAUCUCAAAUCCUCAUAUAUACCUUUGUUCAAUGUAGAGUCAUAAUUUAUCGUGUAUUGAUAUAUCGUAAUUUACUCAAAAAGAUUUUUUAAUUAUAAAAUUAUGAAGAUCGAACAUUAAGAGAGAGCAUCAAAUAAAAUUAUAUUUUAUAUCAAUAAAUUCAUGGCAUUCAUGUUAAGUUAUCAAACGAAUCAUGUUAAGAAAGUCAAAAUUUCUACAUGUGCAUUAGCCAACAGGAUAAUGAAAAACUCAAGUUUGCAUGAAUCGCAUAAACCAUCAAAGUCUUAUGAGCGAGGAUUUUAUUUUUACUUUUAACUUUUAUUUUUGUGUAUUUAUAUCAUCAUAAAAUAGUUGGCUGAAUCUCAUUUGAUUUAUUUCAUUUUUUCUUGAUCUAUAAGCCUUUUAAAAACAAUAAAAAUAUCUAAAAAGUAAUUAAAAUUAUGGACGAUUAUAGAUGAAUAAUGUGUUCAAACUCUUAUGUUUUCUUUUUAAUACCACAAAAAUUAACUCAGCCGUAUUAAUUUUAAAUAGAACCAAGAUAAUAUUACGUACUUUGAAAAAAUUAAAAUUGAAAAAUUAGAUUUUAAUUUUUAAUUAUAUAAAAUAAAAUAACUAAAAAUUAGAUAUGAUAUAAAUUUUACAAACCUACCAUCGAAAGUAUCGUUAUACCCAUAAUAACUAUAGUAAACGAACAAGUUCAUGAAAGAAUGUGUUUUUCCCUUGGCUAUUAGUUUGUUACGUGGCAAGUUGUGAACUAGGAUGUAUAGUAUGUCUUUUUGCUAGUUCACAUGUGAUUAUUUCUCAAAGUGGUCCCUUACUGCAACUAUUUUGUGGGACCAGCCAAGGUAUUGGCCCCACAUUUUCUUUUAUAAAUUUUGCCUAGAAGACUGGGUCCCACUUUAGUCUUUAUGUUCCUUUUUUUUUUUCUACUUUUUGGAAAUACUAUUCAAAUUGAGGCAUAAAAAAAGUUCUAGAAAUAACGCAAUCAUUUGAUACUUGAAUUUUUUUUUAUCCAAUAGACAUAAAGUGCUUCAAGAAUGCAUUUAUUCCAAAUAAGAUACAUAAUAAAUUAAAUAAUGCAUAUUCCUCCUGCACAAAUUCACCUUCUUUUUUUUAAUUAAAAUUUUUAUCUGUUGAAUAGGUUAUAGUAAAAUUUUGAGAUUCUUAUUGUCGUUUUGAUAAAAUUAGCUUUUGAGAUGUCUAAUGCUUUAUUGGUGUUAAUGUUGAAUUACAUAGUAGUUCACUAAUAAUAAAGAAAUAAUAUAAGCGCAAUUACUUUUGCAAUGCUUGAUUAGCCUUUAUCAUUGCUAAUACCCACAUAAAUUAUAUGUAAAGAUAUACGUAUUAUUUAGACAUGAUAAAAUAAAAAUGUGUAUAUUAGCGAAUAUAUGAAACAUAAGUAUAAUGUUUAUUCACUCACUUUUAUAGCUCUCGGUCCCUUUUUUUGUCAAAAUUAACACCUAUUAUUAUUAUUAUUCAUAAAAGCAAAGAGUGAAGAUCCAAUUGGCAAAUAAUAAUCGUCAUCAAACCAAGUUCCCCUGUUCCUUACAUACCCCCAUAAGGCAUAUACAGUUUAGUUUACAUGUUGUUCAUGUGAAAAUUAUGAUGUAAGCAUUGUUUAUACAGGGAAUAAUAAUAAAAAUAUAUUAUUAUAGUAUGACAUAAUAUAAUACAUGAAUUGUUAUAUAAUACUAGCAGUAGUAUAUAUCCUUUACAGUCUUUUUUUUUGCUAAUAUGUAACAAUAUAUUCAGAAUCUCACAAAGUGGAUUCUGAAUAUGCAUUGAUAUAUAUAUAUAUAUAUACACACACGUGUUCUAGUUAAGCGAGAAUCAUUAUAAUAAGUGAAUAUUAAUUAUGUUAGAGAUUAUAUAUCCCAGUAACCCGUUGAACCAAUUAUCAUAUACUCGUAUAUAGUGAAUGUAGAAAAUUAAAUAGAUGCACGAAUUGUGUCUCAUAUACAAAAACUAAGAUACAUUUCUAAUAAUAUUUAAUUAUAAUAAAUUUACAUGAUUUGAUGAAUAUGUACACGAAUUUUUUUUUUGUUUUAAAUACGUAAGUAAAUGUAUUUAUAUAUAAUCUAAACAAAUAUUAUAUGAGAGGGAGAGAGGAUAGGUGAGUGUGGAGUGGUGAAGAUGGCAAUGGGCUGGCUAUGCAAGAUGAAAAUGAGAAAGACUAUUGAUCAAUCGAACAAAAAAAAAUUAAAGAACGUGCACACCCUAAAUUCGAGGAGUUUUCCGGCACCUAAGAGAACAAGAAGCCACAAAUCAAGGAGAAGGCUGAGAGGAGCAAACACAAUUGUUGUGAAACAGCUGGCUGACCAGCAUUUGGGGCUGUUGUAAUCAUUUACAUCAUUUUCACAGAAAGACCCAAAUCCUUCAAAGAGUGAAAUAUUUUAGCAUGCUUCAUGUUCAUCUUUAAGAAUGAGACAUAAAUCCAAUCCUUCAUUUUUAUAUCAAAAGGACUUCACAAAUUUAUGUACCUUCUGUAAUAAAAACACUAAAAUUGAGAUAAAUGGUAAAAAGUGGUGCUAGAGUAACAAGAAUAGCCAUAGAUUGCAUUAACUCAAGUGCAAUGCAAAUUAUGGAAAAGAUAGGUGCAUUUGCGUUGGCAUGUGCAGAUUUCACAUGCAAUACCACGAGAGACUUCAUACUACUGUCUUGACUGUAGCCAACCUCAUGAUAUGUUUAGCAAUCAAAAACACAUCAAAGGAGAAGACAAAGGGGAACAUGUAAUCAGUGUCUCCUCGACACUGUCAAAACAUGUGAACGAUAACAGGUAACCGCCUUGUAUGUAUAUAUUCAGCAAGAAUUUAAUUUCUAUAAACCAUCAGCUCGGCUAAAAGAAAACUAUAUAAACCAUCAGCUUGCCUCGCCUAAAAGAAAACUAUAUGUAUACGGAACUCCAUAAUAAGUGGAAUCAAUUGCCUGAAAAAAAUGCAGGUUACUCACAACAACAAAUUAAUACGUAGCUUAAAAGCUCUUUCACACUAAUAAAAUACGAGAUAGCGCGCACACACACUCGCAAAAUAAACAAGCUCAACUGAAAGGGGGUUGAAGAAAAGGAUUUGAUAGUAGGAAACACUGCUUUUAUACUAGAGAACACCAACUUUUAUGUUUACUAAAAUUGGAAUUACUACAUCAAAAGAUAAACCAAAA